UCUGGCUGCUGGGUGGGGAAGCUGACACGUGUGCGCAUUCCGAACACACGGCUGGAAACCUGCCUCCCGGCUCAGCCGGCUCAGCCUGCAUCAGUCUGGGCCCGCGCUCCCGCCCCUCCAGUGCUGGAAAGGAAUACUGCCUUCUGCCCGCCCUCUUUAGACUCCCCGCCCUCAUUCUGUGUUGGAUUCUGUGCUUCCCAGCGGAAACCCUGCGGUCCAGACUGAGGUAUCUCCCCCACCCCAGAGGAAGCGGUUUGACCUCAACAAGCAUCCAGUGAGUGCCAUUAUACAUGACAGUACAGGUUGUGCACUGCACAGGGUCCCCAGACAAUAAUGGAUACAAUAGGAUCUAAAAUCAGUAAGCUCUCAACCCUGAUACAGAGUUGCACUGGUUCAAAAAAGCAUCCUUUCCACAAAGAUGCCAUGUAUACGAGAUUGGUCUUGUAUCCAUUUGCUAAGCAUAGAAUAUGGAAUUUCAGUGUAACUUCCUGCUGCUGGAAGCUAAUCUCCGACCUGAGUGGCUGGCCUAGCUUCCUGACUGGUCUGUUGCCUCAUUUCCUCUACACUUGCUACUGCCAAAGAAUGUUCCUACAGCUCAGCUCUGAAUUCUACUAACAGCAAUAACUGGAUCCCCCAGACUCAGCCUUGGGGGCCAGCGCCAUCCUUUUGGGAUUAUAGAUGUAUGCCACUGCGCCACCUCCAGCUAUUGAACUUUUUUUUUUUUUUCGGUCAUUUUGAGACAGGGUCUCCCUGUAGCUCCAGCUGGCCUGGAAAUCUCUAUGAAUACCAGGCUGGCCUUAAACUCGAAGAGAUCCUCGCCUCUGCCUCCUAAGUGCUGGAAUUAAAGGCGUGUGCCACCUUUUAACAGAAACCAAGUGUCAGGAGAAAGGUGUAGGGAAAACUGAAUAGAGGUCCUUCAACGCACUCAGAAUCCUGAGAGGUCAGGUCAGGACUGAACCUGUCCUUGGAGUUCAGCCAGGGAAGUUUGGGGGUUGUCCCCGAAUCCCUGAGCAGGUGGACUAUUCUGUACCUCAGUCUGAAUUUAAGAUCUUCAAGGUUUAGCCUCAGCGUCCUUGGGAGCCUCUGCCCUGCCACUCUAGUCUAGCAUCCUAGCUUUUCACCAGGACCUCCCAUCUUGUACAUUCUCUCCAUGUACCCCCUUCUCAGGAAUGUCCUGCUCUGAGGGUCCAUUGUCAGGAUGCUCUGGCCCCCUCCACACAUACUUCCUAGGUGCUCAUGAUGACUCUUCUCUGCCACCUCCCAUCCCGAUGGGAUCCUUCAAGCAGAGACAGUGGCAUGUCCUCCACAAGCUCCCUUUCAAAGCCCCAGCCCUGUCACAGCUAUGGGUAUGUUUACUAUCAUGGCAAGGUAACACUGAGUAACAGAGGUGACUGAAAAUGAACAGUGGUAGGGGCACUGACUGCUCUUGCAGAGGACCCAGGUUUGAUUCCCAGCACCCACAUGGUGCCUAUGAACUGUCUUUAACUCCGGUUCCCAGGGGAAUACGAAGCCCUCUUCUGACCUU